rnacentral:rRNA from 1 species
ACGGCUCAGUAACACGUGGACAACUACCCUGAGGAGAGGGAUAACCCCGGAAAACUGGGGAUAAUACCUCAUAGACCAGGGAUGCUGGAAUGCUUCCUGGUCCAAAGGUCCGCCGCCUCAGGAUGGGUCUGCGGCCGAUUAGGUUGUUGUUGGGGUAACGGCCCGACAAGCCUUUGAUCGGUACGGGUUGUGGGAGCAAGAGCCCGGAGAUGGAUUCUGAGACACGAAUCCAGGCCCUACGGGGCGCAGCAGGCGCGAAAACUUUGCAAUGCGGGAAACCGUGACAAGGGAACUCUGAGUGCCCGUAAAAUCGGGCUGUCCAUCGGUUUAAAUAACCGGUGAAGAAAGGGCCGGGCAAGACCGGUGCCAGCCGCCGCGGUAAUACCGGCGGCUCGAGUGGUGGCCACUAUUACUGGGCUUAAAGCGUUCGUAGCUGGUUUGUUAAGUCUCUGGGGAAAUCUUCCGGCUUAACCGGAAGGCGUCUCAGGGAUACUGGCAGACUAGGGACCGGGAGAGGUGAGAGGUACUCCAGGGGUAGGAGUGAAAUCCUGUAAUCCUUGGGGGACCACCUGUGGCGAAGGCGUCUCACCAGAACGGCUCCGACAGUGAGGGACGAAAGCUGGGGGAGCAAACCGGAUUAGAUACCCGGGUAGUCCCAGCUGUAAACGAUGCGCGUUAGGUGUAUCAGUGACCACGAGUCACCGAGGUGCCGAAGAGAAAUCGUGAAACGUGCCGCCUGGGAAGUACGGUCGCAAGGCUGAAACUUAAAGGAAUUGGCGGGGGAG